GGAGACAGAUCGGAUCAAGCAGUCCUACUGUCCUCCUCACUCUCGUGACCUCUGGUUCUUGUGUUUCUAGCACCAGUUCUCAGUUUGCUGCCAGCCCCUUGAUGCCAAAAUUUGAAGUUUGGGGAGAAAGGAUGCCAAGAAAAAAACCCUGAAGCAUGAAGAUGGAUUGGGAUGAUUUGUAAUUAGAAGCAGGGGCAGGUGGAGAAGUUCCUCUGAAAACAAUUUAUUUGAAAAGAAUCUCAUUCACACAGGGACUAUCAAGUGAAUGGGAAAGUUUCUGGGAAUGUUUGAUAUGGAGCUUACGUCCAGAUGCAAAGCGAAUAUUCAUGCUUCCAAACCUGAGGGAAGAACAUGGUGUUGAUGCUACAGGUCAGAAGAAGUUGGAACCAUGGACUGAUCUUCUCAACUAUAAGGAGACAGCUUUGCAAGAUUACACUCAGAUUAUACCAGGAGAUAUUUGCUUUACUUAUCCUGGUUUACUCUACCCUUCAAAAGUCUAAAUAUACCAUCUGUAUGUGUUCUUACACACACACACACGUAUGUACUUGAAUAUGUUAAUAAGGAUCAUAAAUUAAUUGAGCAAUUUAAAUCAAAUAAAAUACUACAAAAUCCUAGGGUGCAGUUUUUUUAAGUUUCAAGUUUUUUUAUUGUAUCGUAUCAGUUUUGAUUACUAUUAUAGUGUUUCUUUUUUAUUGUUAUUAAGUUUAUUGGUACAAUUGAGAUAUAUAAUGAUCACUUUCACCCUAGGGAAUUUGUAUCUGU
ensembl:lincRNA